GACGAACGCUGGCGGCGUGCUUAACACAUGCAAGUCGAACGAUGAUCUCCCGCUUGCGGGGGUGAUUAGUGGCGAACGGGUGAGUAAUACGUGAGUAACCUGCCCUUGACUCUGGGAUAAGCCUGGGAAACGGGGUCUAAUACUGGAUACUACUUACUGCCGCAUGGUGGGGGGUGGAAAGGGUUUGACUGGUUAUGGAUGGGCUCGCGGCCUACCGGCUUGUUGGUGGAGUAAUGGCUAACCAAGGCGACGACGGGUAGCCGGCCUGAGAGGGUGACCGGCGACCCUGGGUCCUAGGGGCGGCCCAGACGCCGACUGGAGGCAGCUGUGGGGAAGAUUGCUCAAGGGGCGGAGGGCGGAUGCAGCGAGGCCGCGUGAGGGAUGACGGCCUUCUGGUUGUAAACCUGUUUCAGCAGGGAAGAAGCCACAAGCGACGGUACCUGCAGAAGAAGCGCCGGCUAACUACGUG
rnacentral:rRNA from 1 species